rnacentral:piRNA from 1 species
UAAUAACAUGGCCAUACAUUCUUCACGCUC